GCUGGGCGUGGUGAUGCAUGCCUGUAAUCCCAGUUACUUGGAGGCUGAGACAGGAGGAGAGGCCUUUCGGGCUGUU
rnacentral:sRNA from 1 species